CCUACGGGAGGCAGCAGUGAGGAAUAUUGGUCAAUGGCCGUAAGGCUGAACCAGCCAAGUCGCGUGAAGGACGAAGGAUCUAUGGUUUGUAAACUUCUUUUAUCGGGGAAUAAAGGUAUGCACGUGUGGAUAUUUGCAUGUACCCUAUGAAUAAGCAUCGGCUAACUCCGUGCCAGCAGCCGCGGUAAUACGGAGGAUGCGAGUGUUAUCCGGAUUUAUUGGGUUUAAAGGGUGCGUAGGUGGGUUUUUAAGUCAGCGGUGAAAGUUUGUGGCUCAACCAUAAAAUUGCCGUUGAAACUGGAAGACUUGAGUGGUGUGGAGGUAGGCGGAAUGCGUGGUGUAGCGGUGAAAUGCAUAGAUAUCACGCAGAACUCCGAUUGCGAAGGCAGCUUACUAGGCCAUAACUGACGCUGAAGCACGAAAGCGUGGGGAUCAAACAGGAUUAGAUACCCUUGUAGUC
rnacentral:rRNA from 1 species